GCUUGGGAUAGAUCUGAUGCUUAUGUGUGCGCCUUGAUAACAACAAAUCUUUCUCCAUCGCUAAUUCAGAUUGCCUAGAGGAACUGCAUCUGCUUCAGAAUUAUGGCAGAAAAUAGAGGAGAUGUUUCAUCAACAGGUACACCAACGCCGGUUCCAACGUGUAGUCGAGAGGGCACCGGAUUAUGGUGUCUUUCUCGUUCUGUAUGGAACAAAACAAAAAGCCCAGUGGAAAGACAAGCUAAAGAGUAAAGCAGAGAGGAAAAGUCAAAAAGAAGGAAAAUUCUACUAUCACUUCUUACUCAAUCUACAUUAUUUUUUUGGUGUAAUUAACUUUUAUUGAGUGAUUUUUUUAUUCUCAUAUAUGAAUUGAAAGAAGAUUAUUUAC